GUUGAACGCUGGCGGCAGGCCUAACACAUGCAAGUCGAACGAGUGGCGGACGGGUGAGUAAUUACCGGGAAACUGCCCGAUGGAUGAGGAUGACUACUGGAAACGAUAGCUAAUACCGCAUCCCAUCGGAUGUGCACAGAUGGGAUUCGCUUGUAGGUGAGGUAACGGCUCACCUAGCCGACGAUCCCUAGCUGGUCUGAGAGGAUGAGCAGCCACACUGGAACGGAGACACGGUCCAGACUCCUACGUGAGGCAGCAGUGGGGAAAAGUGCACAAUGGGAGCAAGCCUAAUGCAGCCAUGCCGAGUGUAUGAAGAAGGCCUUCGGGUUUUAAAGUACUUUCAGCGGGGAGGCGUUAUCCGAAGAAGAAGCACCGGCUAACUCCGUGCCAGCAGCCGCGGUAAUUC
rnacentral:rRNA from 1 species